rnacentral:sRNA from 1 species
UCAGUAGAUUAUUUAGAACUUCGGAAGAUGGUCAAGGUAC